rnacentral:rRNA from 1 species
UACGUAGGUGGCAAGCGUUGUCCGGAAUUAUUGGGCGUAAAGCGCGCGCAGGCGGCCUUUUAAGUCUGAUGUGAAAUCUUGCGGCUCAACCGCAAGCGGCCAUUGGAAACUGGGAGGCUUGAGUACAGAAGAGGAGAGUGGAAUUCCACGUGUAGCGGUGAAAUGCGUAGAUAUGUGGAGGAACACCUGUGGCGAAGGCGCCUUGCUGGCCGAUUUCUGACGCUGAGGCGCGAAAGCGUGGGGAGCAAACAGG